ensembl:lncRNA
GUCCUUUCUUAUUUCUCUUACGGGUGUAACAGUGAAGUCACAAGACUCCACAUUAAGUAUUCUUUUGAGAAUUCACCAGGAGACAAUUUGUUUUAAAAGAGACCAAAAUCAAUGAGUUUCUUCAGUAACUUCUGGACGUAAAUGUAUCUCUUUGAUUAAGGAAAAAUCCGACUGGUCUCAGGACAUUGUUCUUUGUUUUUUAAUCCAAAAUCCACAACUCUUUGAUUCUGUGAAAAUAUAGACUCAAAUUUCAAAGGUAUUGCAUUUACAUGCAUUUCAUCGGAGUUUCUCAGAGGACAGAAUAGAAGCAGACACUACUCAUCUGAGAUACUGUCUUCUAUAGUUUUUGGAAACAAGUUAGGUUUAAAAAGCAGAAAGACAGGGAAGACAUGAAAAUUGCGACCCCUGAGUGUGACAUUUUCAAACACAUUCAUGGUAUUAAGUUAAAUGAAUGACACUCAAGUACAUCUAGCAAUUUCCAGAGGCCAAGAUGAGCACGAGUAAGGCCUGAAUCUAAAUCGCAUGUAACUCUGUUAAGCCUUACUGAAGCUGAAGCAAGCACAGCUCCCUAGUGGUCAUCUAGGAGAGUUCAUAAUAAGAGUGAGUGAAAAGGAAGAUAUUUUAACUUAAUAGUCACAAAAACAUUGUGGGAGGGUAGUGCAGUGAAUGAGAAAUUCUCACCUUCUGAAUUCCUUGAAUAAAGAACUGCAAUUGAGGAUGGUAUCACACACUGAAGCUCCCCUACUGAGUUUGACCAUAACUGAUAUAUGCAUAGCUUUAGGGAGAAGUUAAUUUUAAAAUAUUAGAAUAGCAUGCUCCAAACAGUUGUCUCAAUAUGUUUGCAUGUAGAGAAAAACAAUGGUUCCUUCAUCCACGUGCUGUGUUAUCUACAUGUGCAUAUAUAACUUCAGCAUAUAUGCAUUUUAUGAUUAUCACCACUCCCUUGUACUUGUGGAACCUAUUAUGCUGUGUAUGGAUUUUUAUCCUCUAUAAUCCUUGUAUUCUCUCUGUGAAUUUGUAAAUGUACUCCAUAAUGCUUUGAAGAUUAAUCCCAUAAUUAAAGGGCAUAGUUAAGUAAAGAAAUUCUGGAUUGCUCAUACUUAAGUGGCGUGUGCAAUCUUCAACAAUGACAGUACAUCUAAACAUGUAUUUUGGCAGAAGUAACAAAGUGCAAGCUAAUAUUUCCAAAAGAAGGACUUGGAGCUGCUGAUACAUGACACACCAGUGUCAUCACAAAACUCUCCACUGAUUUUCAUCUGUUGUGACCACGCUGUUAAGAAAGGGGACAGUGCAGACGCCUAACUAUGAGCAAGGAGGAACACAUCUGGGAGUACGUAUGUGCCAAGGCUCUGGCAGGGAGAUGAAAUGAGGUCUACAUUUGCCAUGUUUGGUUUCCAAAAUGUGAGUGAUUUUUAAAACAUAACCUAAAUUUUUAGAAGUGCUUUUUACUUAAAGGAAUAACUUAAGAGCUGUCCAGGAGUAUUCAUGCUAUGUAUUAAAAGCAGCAAGUCAGGAUGAAAAGUGGUAAUCAAGC